rnacentral:rRNA from 1 species
GAUGAACGCUGGCGGCGUGCCUAAUACAUGCAAGUCGAGCGAACGGACGAGCAGCUUGCUUCUCUGAUGUUAGCGGCGGACGGGUGAGUAACACGUGGAUAACCUACCUAUAAGACUGGGAUAACUUCGGGACACCGUAGCUAAUACCGGAUAAUAUUUUGAACCGCAUGGUUCAAAAGUGAAAGACGGUCUUGCUGUCACUUAUAGAUGGAUCCGCGCUGCAUUAGCUAGUUGGUAAGGUAACGGCUUACCAAGGCAACGAUGCAUAGCCGACCUGAGAGGGUGAUCGGCCACUCUUGAACUGAGACACGCCCCAAACUCCUACGAGGGGCCGCAGUACGGAACCUUCCGCUAGGGGCGAAAGCCUGCCGGAGCAUCGCCGCGCUAGUGCUGAAGGUCAUCGGAUCGUAAACCGCUGUUAUUAGGGAAGGCCAGAUGUGUAGGUAGUGUGUAGUAUCGUGGCUGUACCUCAUCAUAGUGCAGCGGCUAACUCCGU